CAAAUGCUGAUCUAGAAAUCACAUCUCCUGUUAAAUUCUGAAAUUCAGGCCAGAUAUCCAGUUCACAAGAUCCUUCAGCACUCACUAACUUCUUCCACCUUUCAGCUAAACCAAUGCAACUAGUUCGAAAAGCAGUUGAACCUUGAGUUUGUCAAAAUGAAAGGCGGGAUUGAUCAACUUCCUCCUUUGUGCCCAUACUUCUCCUUCAAGAGCAGUAAGUCCCAUUAUAUAUUCACUCUCGGAGUUGUUCCAUUCCAUUUGAACCAUAUCUUGCCUGAACACAACAAUGAAAUUUUCCAGGGAAUUACGCGAGGUAUUAUACUGUGAGUAAGCUCCAUUGGCUUGGACCAGGCUUCCUUGACGGCGGCCUUUUCAUCGUUCAUGUCCCCGGUGAACGGCCGGUACUUAUUCCCGGGCAAGGAAAGUAUUGAUGAUAUGGGUCAGGGAUCAGAGCUCAGUGUUUAUGUCGGUGCAUUAUUUUAUUAUUAUUAUUAUUAUUUUAUUUUUAAUAUGUGUGAUUUAUUUUGUUUGCAUAUUAUAUCUUUCAAAUAUUAUAAGCGGAUUGUUUUGAGAUCGGUGGGCUAAAAUUCUUCAUUAAUUUUUAA